ensembl:lncRNA
UUCCGUAAACAACUGUGAAGACAAGAAAUAAAUAUUUUUGCAGGGGGAAGAGAAAGAAAGAAAGGAAUGCCUGUGCUAAGGAAACCAAAACAAUGCUGGCAGCCUGAGGUGUUCUUUGACUGAGAAUGUUUUUAAUAGCAUAUGUUUUCCCUGUACCUUUCCUGUGAGCUGGUGCAAUUUCCUAAAUUAAUUGAUAUUUUUUUCCAUAAGGUCUGCAUUUGAACUCUCCAGAAGAUGAAGUGUCCUUCUAUCUCUAUUUCUUCUUCUUCCCCGUGAAAGUCAAGCUGUGAGCAUGUGAGGGGGCAGUGCAUCUCAAUUGCAUUCUGCCAUCGUCCUGAUAAAUCCAGCAGUAUGUGGCAGCCCCCUUUAGAUACUGAAAGGCUGCUGUCAUAUCUCCCCAGAACCUUUUCUUCUUUGUGAUGAACAGCCCCAGCUCUCAUCCUGUCCUCGUAGAGAAGUGUUCCAUCCCUUGGAUCAUUUUUUUGGCCCUUGUCUGAAUGUGCUCCAACAGCUCCAUGUCUCUCCUGUAUUGAGGACUCCACAUCUGGACACAGUACUCCAGCUGCUAUAAUUUCUCUGCCACUCAGCAACCCAGAGAGCAAUACUCAGCAUGUUUUACAAGCACUUUAUGCAACUUGAGGAGAAGAAUAAAAAGGUCAUCUUUCUAAUUCUGUGUAAUCCUGCACAAUAUUAAGAGCCAAGGUACUUCUCUUUCGUACCAAUUGUACUGAAAAACAAGAAUGAAAGUCAUGAGCAUUUAGGAAGUGUUCUGUUGGGCAUCAAAGCCAGGAAUGGGCCUUUGCUGAGGGAGACAUAGUAGGUAUGUUUUCAAGUUGGAACACUUCUAUUAUCUUGCCAAAGUUCUAUAGCAUAUGCCUCAGCUGUGUCCAGUGGAUCUAUGUAGUGGAUGUGCUUUCAUUUUCAUGUGUCUGCUCUGUGUAUUGAUUAUCUGAACAAAUGAUGCUAAAGCAGCUAAGUGAUGUUUACCCAUCUUGAAAAGAUAAUUGGCCAAAUUCAUUCCUGAUGUAAGUAUUCCGAUCAGUGAAGUUCUGUCAAGGACAAAUUUCUCUUGAGAGAAGAAUUUCCUGAGAUGUGCCAGUUAAACCAAAGGGGUUGCCAAGAAUAAAUUAGGGAAAACAAAAUGAAAAAUUAGGGAAAAUAAAGCAGCUUUCCUCCCCCCCAAACCUCACAGUUUAGCCAAAUUAGUGCUCCUGCUGGGAUCCAGAAAGACAUCAGUGGAGGGCAAAUUCUUAUGGCAGCAUAUUGUCUUUGCCCAAGUGACUGAGCUGCAGAGACUACCCUGGUCCAGUACCUGAAAGGCUUGGCCUGGGUCUCAUCUGAGAUGCAUCUCCAUAGUGGAGUAGGAUCAGGGAGGUGCCAGGGGGAGUCCAUGGAGACCUCCUUACCCUCUAUGCCUCUCAACAAGCACUGGCACAGAUCUAUGCAUGAUGACCUUAACCACGCCUAUGGCUAGUACUGCUUAGAGUGCAUGUGAAUGGAAAACAGCUAGUUAGUGAGAUCGAAACAGAGCUCUUUUUAUUUAUCAGCAUAAACAUCCCCAGGGGGCUAGAUUAAAUGUUUGCAUGCUGGGGAAAACAGACUGUGCCAGCAGAAAGGAUGAAUCACUUGUAUAGACAGAUGCAUCUUGCAUUCAGCUUCUGAGCCUGCCAAACUGCCCUGCACCCUAUUACACAGGAGACUCAAGUCUCUAGUGUGAUUUUCUAGUACUGGCAGAUAUUUUUAGCCAAGUUCUGUCUAACUUUCAUGCUCCUUAAAUGCUAGCUAUCAAUGCAGUGCAUGUUCUCUUUGUGGCAUUUAGUGCUUUGAGAUUCCUGGGUGGAUGGGUUGAUCUGUAAUGUAUGUAACCCUAAUGAAAAAAUAAAUGUCAAUUUGAUAUUUCAUAAAGUAAAACAAUACAGCUGUUCUUGGUAAUAUGCUAGAGUAGUUUUACCUUUACAGCAAUUCUGAUCUCAUUUUCAGUGUGUUUUCAAAUCUAUCUAAUACAGAUCUGAAAGAACAAUUCAUUAUGAAUAAUUUAUGCAGUAGAUUUGACCCACUUUUCUGUUUGCAAAUUACUAUAAUUCCUCUGUAAUGACUGCGUUUUUCCCUCCAGUUUGUGCCCUCCCAGUGCAGACUGAAGCCAAGUAAGGCUAUUCUAAAAUAAAUGGUAAUUCAAGUCUACCUGCUGCUUGCUUUGAGGCUGUGGGUGUAACUUAUCUAUGAGCAAAUAUGACAAUAAACUACAUUGUGAUUAUUUAAAUGUUGUACUACUCCUUGCUGAAGAGAAGAGAUAGAGGUAAUUGGUUGUUUCCUGGCAGUUUUAUGGUACAUUUAUAGAAUUUACUGGUUAUUAUUUGCAUCUUCUGGCCAGUCAUCUCAGUAUCACUGAUGUUGCAAAUUACUUAAAAAGUUGAUUUUUGCAAAGAAUUAAAAAAGAAAAAGAAUGGGCAUAGAAACAUCAGUGUGAACUACAGAACCUCCUCUUUCCAGAGCUUUGUUUUUGAGCUUCAGUUUUAAAAAAUCUGACUUCUUUCCUGAUUGAUGGGAGAUGCUGCAAGUGCAUUUAUCUGGGCUUGUUUAGAAGAGUUCACUUUUUUUUUCCCCUGAUAUAAUUUAAACAAUGAAAUGAUAUAUUCACAGUCUUUGUCACGAACUACAUGGUGACAACUUUUCCUCUUUCUCUUUCUGAUUAAUUAUAGCACCUAAGUGCUGUCCUGAGACACUGGGCAGCUCAUGCACACUGCACUCUAUGCUCAGUUCAGAAGAGUUUCUUACGGCACAUAGGGAAAUUAAGCCAUAUGCAUUCACCUUUAAUAAUCCCAGUGGUUCUGAUGUUGAGAUACAGUUCUUUGGAGAUUGUGCAACUCUUCAAUUAGUUCUUUUGUUUGCUUUACGGAAUACAAUGUGGCAGCAUAUAUUUCUGCCCCAGUAAGGUACAGCAUUUGGCACUCAGCCUCUUUAAAGGGACUCAUUCUUUGAUAGAUAGCUUGGUCAUGGAAAGGGGAAUAUAGCCUCUGAAAGAAAUGGGAACAAUGUACAAAUGAGGCAGUAAAAAUAAAUGACACAUUAGAUUCUCUAGCCAAGCAAGAUGCUACAGCCUACAUAAAGGCAAAGAUGCUGACUUCAUAGGACACUCUAAGCAAAGCUUCUGUAGGCAGCAGCAAUUUAAAAUUACUGGUACAUUAAUGAGAGUAUGUGUUAAGUGAAUUACUGGGAUGUUGGUAAAUGCUGUUCUCAUUAAAAGUCAAUCUAUUGUU